rnacentral:piRNA from 1 species
UGUUGGUGGCGAGCCUCUGAGUGUUGC